rnacentral:rRNA from 1 species
UUUAAGCAUAUUAAUAAGCGGUAGGAAAAGAAACUAACUAGGAUUCCCUUAAGUAACGGCGAGUGAAGUAGGGAAAAGCUACUAAAAUUUAAAAUACAAAAGUUAUUUAAUUAUUAUUUUAGAAUUGUUAGUUUUUAUAGAAAUGUCUAUCCAUCAUAAUAAAAAAAGUAUAAAUCUUUUGGAAAAGGUAUCAUGGAGGGUGAUAAUCCCGUAUCAUGACUUUUUUUAAUAUGAUAUAUGUUGUUGACAUUUUAAAGAGUCGGGUUGUUUGGGAUUUCAGCCCUAAAUGGGUGGUAAACUUCAUCUAAAGCUAAAUAUUGGUGAGAAACCGAUAGCGAACAAGUACCGUGAGGGGAAAGAUGAAAAGAACUUUGAAAAGAGAGUUAAAAGUACUUGAAAUUGUUAAGAGAGAAGCGAU